AAGCGGAGAGAGCCGGGAAGGGAACUGCGCAACGCGGAGGCGUCGGGGAGCAACUCCUCCGUGCACGUCUGCGUCGCUUUGCAAUGCGCCCCAGUUUCCUGGAGGCCGUUGGGAGAGCUGAUCGCCGAUGCCAGGCACACCCCGAGGGGGGGAAAGGGUUUCCAAACGGUUGGCCUAGUUAGUUCUCGAUUGCUAGGAUUGCCCUGGCAUUGGGUUCGGACCAUAAAUGCCUCCUCUUCUUUCCAACAAGAUAUACUGAACUGGAGUCUUUCUACAGGAGACACCUGGCACCCCGAAGAACAGCAUUCCUUCAAUUCUGUAUCGAGAGCUGCUGUAGCACGGUGGUUAAGUGGUUUGGCUGUGAAUCAGCACUCUACUGGUUUGAAUCCCACUACUGCCAUGAGCUCAGUCGGUGGCCCUUGGGAGAACAGGGAAAAUUCAAGGAAAGGGCCUGGACUAUCUCUGAUAUAGCCAGAUGUUGCACAUCGCUGCACUCAUCCAAAACAAAGACCCAAAAAUAAAAGCUGAGUAAUACUUUUUAUUACGACUAAUCCAAAGGAUAUCCAACAAUGUACAAGCUUUUGAGUUUUCCAGAAUUCUUCAGCAGGCUGGAUUUUUUAAAAAACGGAAGUAUGUGUGUGUGUGCGGGGGGGAGAUAUCUUAGGCCUUGAUCUUAAGGCUUUGUCUUGUGUGAAACGUUGAGCAGGUGUAUAGAUUUAAAAUGGUGCUGAUGUCAGGUUAUACCCUUGGUCUUCUGAGAGGAAGAAGCAAAGAAGGGAAGCAUCUUGCUGAAAAUACCAAACACAGCUGUCAAUCAAAUGUCUCUCUAAAACCACAUGAAACACAGAUCUCUUAGAAGGCAGUGGGAAAAGAGGAAAUCGCCAGGUUCUCAUAAGCUUGUGGAUAUGGCCCUGUUUGCUCUCCUUCUGAGCUUUGAAAACAAAUAGUAAGUUAGGAGAUUACGUUAUUUUGUUAAAAUUGAGUGUUAUAGUCUAACAAAUGUCCUUUAUUAUUUUUAGCAUAUGGUUGUGGGGAGGCAGAAGUCAUAGCAUUUCCACAGUUCCUUAUAGGGAUGCCCCACUCAUGGAACACUGGCGGCUUUCCCCCACUAUUCCAGAGGCCUCCAUUUGCAAAACUUGCAGGCUGCUUGGUUUCCGGUUUUUUGGCGCCUGUUCUAGGAACGCGCGUUCCCUCGUCUUUUCUUUUGUCACAGGCUGAUGGAGCGCUUCUUCUGCGUUCUUGGGCUUGCACAUGGUUAAAGUGCUGUGAGGAAUCGUCCCAUCACAGCCCAACUCCUCCCCCAAAGCUCUCAGCAUGCAAUUGCACACGGGAAGGGCAAAAAAAAAAACAUUUGAAAGGGAAGCUGGCGACGAUGAUAAAAGUGCCCGACCUUCCCUCCCAAAUCGCAAGGCUCCACCCCUCAAAUCUCCAGGAAUUUCCCAAUCGGGAGCUGGCAACCCUAGUUCCAGCCUCAUAACAUUCAUAUUCACAUGAGUGAGUGAAGGCAGCCCAAAAGAGAAGAAUGUUGGAAACCGGUGACACAAAUAUUCAAAACACAUGACUAGAGACAAAAAUCAUGGUAGGUUAACACUUUUAUCGUACCACUUUUGGGGUGGGGGAGGUAUCUGUCCCUAGCCACAACUUCUGCUUGUUACAAGCUCCACAUUGGAGCCAGACUUGACUCACAUUUGCCUUGUAAAUAAAUCCACUGCAACCAAGUCAUAAAAGCCGGAAGCACUAAAACAAAUAAAAAAGCCCAAAUAAAAAUAAUCCUUUAUGAUCUCUAUUGUCAACAGG